GGUCGCGUGGCCGAGUGGCUAGGCACAGCUCUGCAAAAGCUGCUACUGCGGUUCGAAUCCGCACGCGACCUCCG
rnacentral:tRNA from 1 species